rnacentral:rRNA from 1 species
CCUACGGGGUGCAGCAGUGGGGAAUAUUGCACAAUGGGCGCAAGCCUGAUGCAGCCAUGCCGCGUGUGUGAAGAAGGCCUUCGGGUUGUAAAGCACUUUCAGCGGGGAGGAAGGCGUUAAGGUUAAUAACCUUGGCGAUUGACGUUACCUGCAGAAGACGCACCGGCUAACUCCGUGCCAGCAGCCGCGGUAAUACGGAGGGUGCAAGCGUUAAUCGGAAUUACUGGGCGUAAAGCGCACGCAGGCGGUCUGUCCAGUCGGAUGUGAAAUCCCCGGGCUCAACCUGAGAACUGCAUUCGAAACUGGCAGGCUAGAGUCUUGUAGACGGGGGUAGAAUUCCAGGUGUAGCGGUGAAAUGCGUAGAGAUCUGGAGGAAUACCGGUGGCGAAGGCGGCCCCCUGGACAAAGACUGACGCUCAGGUGCGAAAGCGUGGGGAGCAAACAGGAUUAGAUACCCCGGUAGUC